CCUUUCCUCUUUUCUGGCAUUCCGAAUGGCGGAGCCCAGGUGAAAUGUCGUUUGUUGCUGUCCUAUUCCGUGGCGUUAAAUCAUAAAAGUUAACCUGUGCCGCUAUUCCAUGGACUGAAUCCAUUGGUGGUAACUUACGACAAAUCAGUGACAACUGACUGACGUGAUGUCAUUCAGCAAUACUUCUCACAUGCGUGCCCAAAGACACGGGGGAGUUGUGCCUGCUUCAGCUACGAGGACAGCAUAAUUCGACUACCCAACCGACGGCCUGGUGGGCCAACUCACCCAUCACUGACUCCUACUCCCUGCUCUCAAAUGACCAAAGGUCAAUGAUGUUGUUCUAAACUACAGGUUUCUAAAUCUGCAUGACAGAAUUUCUGAAAAGUCAUGUCCUUUGAAGAGAAAGGACAAAAACUAUACAUUUAACAAGGUCCCUUAUUUGGUAACCAGUUGGCUGCUACCAUUAAAUCUCCCUCUUUACUUCCUUCUCGAUUUGAGGGUAACUCCUUUGCUACUUAUCAUGGACUUCAUCCAUUGGUGAAAACUGACAGA